rnacentral:rRNA from 1 species
GAUGAACGCUGGCGGCGUGCUUAACACAUGCAAGUCGAACGGAAAGGCUCCUGCUUGCAGGGGUACUCGAGUGGCGAACGGGUGAGUAACACGUGGGUGAUCUGCCCUGCACUUCGGGAUAAGCCUGGGAAACUGGGUCUAAUACCGGAUAGGACGAUGGUUUGGAUGCCAUUGUGGAAAGUUUUUCGGUGUGGGAUGAGCUCGCGGCCUAUCAGCUUGUUGGUGGGGUAAUGGCCUACCAAGGCGUCGACGGGUAGCCGGCCUGAGAGGGUGUACGGCCACAUUGGGACUGAGAUACGGCCCAGACUCCUACGGGAGGCAGCAGUGGGGAAUAUUGCACAAUGGGCGCAAGCCUGAUGCAGCGACGCCGCGUGGGGGAUGACGGCCUUCGGGUUGUAAACUCCUUUCGCUAGGGACGAAGCGCAAGUGACGGUACCUGGAGAAGAAGCACCGGCUAACUACG